GUUUGAUCAUGGCUCAGAUUGAACGCUGGCGGUAUGCUUAACACAUGCAAGUCGAACGGUAGCAGGCCUUCGGGCGCUGACGAGUGGCGGACGGGUGAGUAACGCGUAGGAAUCUGCCUCAUAGUGGGGGACAACGUGGGGAAACUCACGCUAAUACCGCAUACGCCCUACGGGGGAAAGCGGGGGAUCUUCGGACCUCGCGCUAUGAGAUGAGCCUGCGUUAGAUUAGCUAGUUGGUAGGGUAAAGGCCUACCAAGGCGACGAUCUAUAGCUGGUCUGAGAGGACGAUCAGCCACACUGGGACUGAGACACGGCCCAGACUCCUACGGGAGGCAGCAGUGGGGAAUAUUGGACAAUGGGCGCAAGCCUGAUCCAGCAAUACCGCGUGUGUGAAGAAGGCCUUA
rnacentral:rRNA from 1 species